GACGAACGCUGGCGGCGUGCUUAACACAUGCAAGUCGAGCGGUAAGGCCCUUUCGGGGGUACACGAGCGGCGAACGGGUGAGUAACACGUGGGUGACCUGCCCUCAGCUCUGGGAUAAGCCUGGGAAACCGGGUCUAAUACUGGAUAUGACUCCAUGACGCAUGUUGUGGGGUGGAAAGCCUUGUGCGGCUGAGGAUGGGCCCGCGGCCUAUCAGCUUGUUGGUGGGGUGAUGGCCUACCAAGGCAACGACGGGUAGCCGGCCUGAGAGGGCGACCGGCCACACUGGGACUGAGACACGGCCCAGACUCCUACGGGAGGGCAGCAGUGGGGAAUCUUGCGCAAUGGGCGAAAGCCUGACGCAGCGACGCCGCGUGAGGGA
rnacentral:rRNA from 1 species